AGUCGCACGAGAAAGGGGAGCAAUCCCUGAGUACAGUGGCGCACGGGUGAGUAACACGUGAAUCAUCUACCUUCGAGUGGGGAAUAACUGGGAGAAAUCUCAGCUAAUACCGCAUAAUACCUACGGGUCAAAGCAGCAAUGCGCUUGAAGAGGAGUUCGCGGCCGAUUAGUUAGUUGGCGGGGUAAUGGCCCACCAAGACGAUGAUCUGUAUCCGGCCUGAGAGGGCGCACGGACACACUGGAACUGAAACACGGUCCAGACUCCUACGGGAGGCAGCAGUGGGGAAUUUUGCGCAAUGGGGGAAACCCUGACGCAGCAACGCCGCGUGGAGGAUGAAAUCCCUUGGGAUGUAAACUCCUUUCGAUCGGGACGAUUAUGACGGUACCGGAAGAAGAAGCCCCGGCUAACUUCGUGCCAGCAGCCGCGGUAAUACGAGGGGGGCGAGCGUUGUUCGGAAUUAUUGGGCGUAAAGGGCGCGUAGGCGGUUGGACAAGUCUGAUGUGAAAUCUGUGGGCUCAACUCACAGUCUGCAUUAGAAACUGUCCGGCUUGAGUGUGGGAGAGGUGAGUGGAAUUUCCGGUGUAGCGGUGAAAUGCGUAGAUAUCAGAAGGAACACCUGUGGCGAAAGCGGCUCACUGGACCAUAACUGACGCUGAGGCGCGAAAGCUAGGGGAGCAAACAGGAUUAGAUACCCUGGUAGUCCUAGCCCUAAACGAUGAUUGCUUG
rnacentral:rRNA from 1 species